rnacentral:rRNA from 1 species
AGUGAACGCUGGCGGUAGGCCUAACACAUGCAAGUCGAACGGCAGCACAGUAAGAGCUUGCUCUUACGGGUGGCGAGUGGCGGACGGGUGAGGAAUACAUCGGAAUCUACUUUUUCGUGGGGGAUAACGUAGGGAAACUUACGCUAAUACCGCAUACGACCUACGGGUGAAAGCAGGGGAUCUUCGGACCUUGCGCGAUUGAAUGAGCCGAUGUCGGAUUAGCUAGUUGGCGGGGGAAAGGCCCACCAAGGCGACGAUCCGUAGCUGGUCUGAGAGGAUGAACAGCCACACUGGAACUGAGACACGGUGCAGACUCCUACGGGAGGCAGCAGUGGGGAAUAUUGGACAAUGGGGGCAAGCCUGAUCCAGCCAUACCGCGUGGGUGAAGAAGGCCUUCGGGUGGUAAAGCCCUUUUGUUGGGAAAGAAAAGCAGCAGGUUAAUACCCCGCUGUUCUGACGGUACCCAAAGAAUAAGCACCGGCUAACUUCGUG